CAGUCGCCACGGUAAUACAGAGGGUGCGAGCGUUAAUCGGAUUUACUGGGCGUAAAGCGUGCGUAGGCGGCUUCUUAAGUCGGAUGUGAAAUCCCUGAGCUUAACUUAGGAAUUGCAUUCGAUACUGGGAAGCUAGAGUAUGGGAGAGGAUGGUAGAAUUCCAGGUGUAGCGGUGAAAUGCGUAGAGAUCUGGAGGAAUACCGAUGGCGAAGGCAGCCAUCUGGCCUAAUACUGACGCUGAGGUACGAAAGCAUGGGGAGCAAACAGGAUUAGAGACCCCGGUAGUCCCUGUCUCUUAUAA
rnacentral:rRNA from 1 species